UACGUAGGGUGCGAGCGUUUGUCCGGAAUUAUUGGGCGUAAAGGGCUCGUAGGCGGUCUGUUGCGUCAGGAGUGAAAACUCGGGGCUUAACCCCGAGCCUGCUUCUGAUACGGGCAGACUAGAGGUAUGCAGGGGAGAACGGAAUUCCUGGUGUAGCGGUGAAAUGCGCAGAUAUCAGGAAGAACACCCGUGGCUAAGGCGGUUCUCUAGUACGGUACUGACGCUGAGACGCGAAAGCGUGGGGAGCGAACAGG
rnacentral:rRNA from 1 species